UCUGGUCAGAACGAACGCUGGCGGCGCGUUUAAGCAUGCAAGUCGAGCGGCAAGGGCCUUCGGGCCCCUAGAGCGGCGGACGGGUGAGUAACACGUGGACAAUCUGCCCCCCGGCCCGGGAUAGCCCAGGGAAACCUGGAUUAAUACCGGAUGAGACGGGACCCGCGAUGGCGGGAUCCGGGAAAGGCGCUGCGGCGCCGCCGGGGGAUGAGUCUGCGUCCCAUUAGCUAGACGGCGGGGUAACGGCCCACCGUGGCGACGAUGGGUAGCCGGCCUGAGAGGGUGGACGGCCACAUUGGAACUGAGACACGGUCCAGACUCCUACGGGAGGCAGCAGCUAAGAAUCUUCCGCAAUGGGCGAAAGCCUGACGGAGCGACGCCGCGUGAACGAAGAAGGCCGUGAGGUUGUAAAGUUCUUUUCGGGAGGGGGAACAACCGUGGCAGGGAAUGGCCGCGGGAUGACGUGAAUCCCGGAAUAAGCCCCGGCUAACUACGUGCCAGCAGCUGC
rnacentral:rRNA from 1 species